rnacentral:rRNA from 1 species
UGGGGAAUAUUGGACAAUGGGCGCAAGCCUGAUCCAGCCAUGCCGCGUGAGUGACGAAGGCCUUAGGGUUGUAAAGCUCUUUUUGGCGGGGAAGAUAAUGACGGUACCCGCAGAAUAAGCUCCGGCUAACUUCGUGCCAGCAGCCGCGGUAAUACGAAGGGAGCUAGCGUUGUUCGGAAUCACUGGGCGUAAAGCGCACGUAGGUGGGCAGUUAAGUCAGGGGUGAAAGCCCGAGGCUCAACCUCGGAAUUGCCUCUGAUACUGGCUGUCUAGAGUUCGAGAGAGGUGAGUGGAAUUCCUAGUGUAGAGGUGAAAUUCGUAGAUAUUAGGAAGAACACCGGUGGCGAAGGCGGCUCACUGGCUCGAUACUGACACUGAGGCGCGAAAGCGUGGGGAGCAAACAGGAUUAGAUACCCAAGUAGUCCCUGAGCGGGCUGGCAAGGCGCAU